rnacentral:rRNA from 1 species
CCUACGGGAGGCUGCAGUGGGGAAUAUUGGACAAUGGGGGGAACCCUGAUCCAGCCAUGCCGCGUGUGUGAAGAAGGCCCUCGGGUUGUAAAGCACUUUCAGUGAGGAAGAACGCCUGGUGGUUAAUACCCAUCAGGAAAGACAUCACUCACAGAAGAAGCACCGGCUAACUCCGUGCCAGCAGCCGCGGUAAUACGGAGGGUGCGAGCGUUAAUCGGAAUUACUGGGCGUAAAGCGCGCGUAGGUGGCUUGAUAAGCCGGUUGGGAAAGCCCCGGGCUCAACCUGGGAACGGCAUCCGGAACUGUCAAGCUAGAGUGCAGGAGAGGAAGGUAGAAUUCCCGGUGUAGCGGUGAAAUGCGUAGAGAUCGGGAGGAAUACCAGUGGCGAAGGCGGCCUUCUGGACUGACACUGACACUGAGGUGCGAAAGCGUGGGUAGCAAACAGGAUUAGAUACCCUAGUAGUC